AGAGACUGUCAUACAGAGUGAAUCUGCCCUCAAAAGGAUUUGAUAUAAUACAGACUUGAUGAGUUCUGAUGCUUAAAAAAAAAGAAAAGGAAAAAAAAGGCAUACAUAUCUUCUUCAGGAAAACCAAAGGUAGGCCAGAAUUAUAUGUUGUAAGCAGUUUUACAUUUCUGUGUGUAUUAUUCCUUUGCUUUAAUGCAUUUAAAAAAUGCUUAUCAGUUCAUAAUGAAAAAAUAGUUUUAGUGAGACAAGAAAUGCUGAUGUAUUUCUUUUAAUGAAUAUCCUGGCUUUCUUUGUGCAAACAACCACACAAAGUGUUCCUUUAUGAUUUCAGAAUGGAGGUGUUUUAAAAUGAUUUAUAAUUAUGUAAAUCUUUUACUAGAAUGGUAAUUUUAAAAUUUUGCUAAGACUAUAAAUUUCCUUUUUAUUGUUAAUUGCGGGCCUAACAUAGAUUUCAGGGGAAAAAAAUACCCUGAAUAUGAGACGUGCUAUUAUAUAGAUCAUACUAUACAUAAAC